ACUCAAAGGAAUUGACGGGGGCCCGCACAAGCAGCGGAGCAUGUGGUUUAAUUCGACGCAACGCGAAGAACCUUACCUGGGCUUGACAUGUGGGUGACCGGUCUGGAAACAGGCCUUCCCUUCGGGGCACCUUCACAGGUGGUGCAUGGCUGUCGUCAGCUCGUGUCGUGAGAUGUUGGGUUAAGUCCCGCAACGAGCGCAACCCCCGUCGCAUGUUGCCAGCAUUCAGUUGGGGACUCAUGCGAGACUGCCGGUGACAAACCGGAGGAAGGUGGGGAUGACGUCAAGUCAUCAUGCCCCUUAUGUCCAGGGCUACACACGUGCUACAUUGGCGCGUACAGAGGGCUGCGAUACCGCGAGGUGGAGCGAAUCCCUUAAAGCGCGUCUCGGUUCGGAUUGGAGGCUGAAACCCGCCUCCAUGAAGGCGGAGUUGCUAGUAAUCGCGGAUCAGCACUGCCGCGGUGAAUACGUUCCCGGGCCUUGCACACACCGCCCGU
rnacentral:rRNA from 1 species